UACAGAGGAUGCAAGCGUUAUCCGGAAUGAUUGGGCGUAAAGCGUCUGUAGGUGGCUUUUUAAGUCCGCCGUCAAAUCCCAGGGCUCAACUCUGGACAGGCGGUGGAAACUACCAAGCUGGAGUACGGUAGGGGCAGAGGGAAUUUCCGGUGGAGCGGUGAAAUGCGUAGAUAUCGUGAGGAAGACCAGUGGCGAAGGCGGAUCUCUGGACAGUUCCUGACGCUGAGGCGCGAAGGCCAGGGGAGCAAACGGG
rnacentral:rRNA from 1 species